AGGACGAACGCUGGCGGCGUGCUUAACACAUGCAGUCGAGCGGAAAGGCCCUUCGGGGUACUCGAGCGGCGAACGGGUGAGUAACACGUGAGCAACCUGCCCUUAGCUCCGGGAUAGCUCCGGGAAACCGGAAUUAAUACCGGAUAUGACCUAGGCCGACAUCGGCUGUGGUGGAAAGUUUUUCGGCUGGGGAUGGACUCGCGGCCUAUCAGCUUGUUGGUGGGGUAAUGGCCUACCAAGGCGACGACGGGUAGCCGGCCUGAGAGGGCGACCGGCCACACUGGGACUGAGACACGGCCCAGACUCCUACGGGAGGCAGCAGUGGGAAUCUUGCGCAAUGGGCGAAAGCCUGACGCAGCGACGCCGCGUGGGGGAUGAAGGCCUUCGGGUUGUAAACCCCUUUCAGCAGGGACGAGCGAAAGUGACGGUACCUGCAGAAGAGCGCCGCUAACUACGCGCCAGCAGCCGC
rnacentral:rRNA from 1 species